rnacentral:rRNA from 1 species
GGGCCCGCACAAGCAGCGGAGCGUGUGGUUUAAUUCGAGGCUACACGAAGAACCUUACCUGGGCUUGACAUGACACUAGUAGGGAAGUGAAAGCGGACCGACCCGCAAGGGAGGUGUCACAGGUGCUGCAUGGCUGUCGUCAGCUCGUGCCGUGAGGUGUUAGGUUAAGUCCUGUAACGAGCGCAACCCCCGGAGCCAGUUACACGAAGUCUGGCUCGACUGCCCGCGACAAGCGGGAGGAAGGUGGGGAUGAUGUCAAGUCAGCAUGGCCUUUAUGUCCAGGGCUACACACACGCUACAAUGGCCGGUACAAUGGGUCGCCAAGCCGCAAGGCGGAGCCAAUCCUAUCAAAGCCGGUCACAGUUCGGAUUGUGGGCUGCAACCCGCCCACAUGAAGUUGGAGUUGCUAGUAACCGCGCGUCAGCCAUAGUGCGGUGAAUACGUUCCCGGGCCUU